UACGUAGGGGGCUAGCGUUGUCCGGAAUCAUUGGGCGUAAAGAGCUCGUAGGCGGUUUGGCAAGUCGGGUGUGAAAACUCCGGGCUCAACUCGGAGACGCCACUCGAUACUGCCAUGACUCGAGUCCGGUAGGGGAGUGCGGAAUUCCUGGUGUAGCGGUGAAAUGCGCAGAUAUCAGGAGGAACACCUGAGGCGAAGGCGGCUUUCUGGACAGAAACUGACGCUGAUGCGCGAAAGCUAGGGGAGCAAACAGG
rnacentral:rRNA from 1 species